AGCGGCGGACGGGUGAGUAACGCGUGGGUAACCUGCCUCAUACAGGGGAUAACAGUUGGAAACGGCUGCUAAUACCGCAUAAGCGCACAGUACCGCAUGGUACCGUGUGAAAAACUCCGGUGGUAUGAGAUGGACCCGCGUCUGAUUAGGUAGUUGGUGGGGUAACGGCCUACCAAGCCGACGAUCAGUAGCCGACCUGAGAGGGUGACCGGCCACAUUGGGACUGAGACAUGGCCCAA
rnacentral:rRNA from 1 species